AGAAGAACGGCGGAAAACCUGCGCGUUAACAGCAUCGCUGCAAAAUCCUCCGCCCUGCCACGGUCUCCGGCCAUCCCAGGUUUCAAGAAUUAUUGCAGAAAGCCUUCGUCUCCUUCAAUUUCUGCUCUUAAUCGGCAAAAGUUUUUGCUUACCAGAUCUAGGUAUUUCGGAGUUGGUCGAUCACUAGCGAGCUAUAUGGAUCUUUGCUAUUGAGACUCAAGGUUAACGUGAUGCCGUGUUCACAGGCCUCAGAGUCACCUUCUGAUAUUGUACUUGCACUGUUUUAUAUGUAUUUCGAAACAGUUAUAUUUAGAGGUUUUCUAGCAAAUUCAGUAGAGCUUAUGACUUGCACUACCGGUUUUGGGAUUGUAAGUUUUGUACAGAUAUUUCUAUUUCAUAUAUGA